UACGUAGGGUGCAAGCGUUAAUCGGAAUUACUGGGCGUAAAGCGUGCGCAGGCGGUUCGCUAAGACCGAUGUGAAAUCCCCGGGCUUAACCUGGGAACUGCAUUGGUGACUGGCGGGCUAGGGUAUGGCAGAGGGGGGUAGAAUUCCACGUGUAGCAGUGAAAUGCGUAGAGAUGUGGAGGAAUACCGAUGGCGAAGGCAGCCCCCUGGGCCAAUACUGACGCUCAUGCACGAAAGCGUGGGGAGCAAACAGG
rnacentral:rRNA from 1 species